rnacentral:rRNA from 1 species
GAUGAACGCUGGCGGCGUGCCUAAUACAUGCAAGUCGAGCGAACGGACGAGAAGCUUGCUUCUCUGAUGUUAGCGGCGGACGGGUGAGUAACACGUGGAUAACCUACCUAUAAGACUGGGAUAACUUCGGGAAACCGGAGCUAAUACCGGAUAAUAUUUUGAACCGCAUGGUUCAAAAGUGAAAGACGGUCUUGCUGUCACUUAUAGAUGGAUCCGCGCUGCAUUAGCUAGUUGGUAAGGUAGCGGCUUACCAAGGCAACGAUGCAUAGCCGACCUGAGAGGGUGAUCGGCCACACUGGAACUGAGACACGGUCCAGACUCCUACGGGAGGCAGCAGUAGGGAAUCUUCCGCAAUGGGCGAAAGCCUGACGGAGCAACGCCGCGUGAGUGAUGAAGGUCUUCGGAUCGUAAAACUCUGUUAUUAGGGAAGAACAUAUGUGUAAGUAACUGUGCACAUCUUGACGGUACCUAAUCAGAAAGCCACGGCUAACUACGUG